GUAGGUGGCAAGCGUUGUCCGGGAAUUAUUGGGGCGUAAAGCGCGCGCAGGCGGUUCUUUAAGUCUGAUGUGAAAGCCCACGGGCUCAACCGUGGGAGGGUCAUUGGAAACUGGAGAACUUGAGUACAGAAGAGGAAAGCGGAAUUCCACGUGUAGCGGUGAAAUGCGUAGAGAUGUGGAGGAACACCAGUGGCGAAGGCGGCUUUCUGGUCUGUAGCUGACGCUGAGGCGCGAAAGCGUGGGGAGCAAACAGGAUUAGAUACCCUGGUAGUCCACGCCGUAAACGAUGAGUGCUAAGUGUUAGGGGGUUUCCGCCCCUUAGUGCUGCAGCUAACGCAUUAAGCACUCCGCCUGGGGAGUACGGCCGCAAAGGCUGA
rnacentral:rRNA from 1 species